CGAGACCUACGGGGCGCAGCAGUGGGGGAUAUUGCACAAUGGGGGGAACCCUGAUGCAGCGACGCCGCGUGGGCGAUGGAGUGCUUCGGCAUGUAAAGCCCUAUCAGCAGGGAAGAAAAUGACGGUACCUGACUAAGAAGCCCCGGCUAAAUACGUGCCAGCAGCCGCGGUAAUACGUAGGGGGCAAGCGUUAUCCGGAUUUACUGGGUGUAAAGGGAGCGUAGACGGCAGCGCAAGUCUGGAGUGAAAUCCCAUGGCUUAACCAUGGAACUGCUUUGGAAACUGUGCAGCUGGAGGGCAGGAGG
rnacentral:rRNA from 1 species